rnacentral:rRNA from 1 species
UACGUAGGGGGCAAGCGUUGUCCGGAUUUAUUGGGCGUAAAGAGCGUGUAGGCGGCUAGGUAGGUCCGUUGUGAAAACUCGAGGCUCAACCUCGAGACGCCGAUGGAAACCAUCUAGCUAGAGUCCGGAAGAGGAGAGUGGAAUUCCUGGUGUAGCGGUGAAAUGCGCAGAUAUCAGGAAGAACACCCGUGGCUAAGGCGGCUCUCUAGUACGGUACUGACGCUGAGACGCGAAAGCGUGGGGAGCGAAUAGG